rnacentral:lncRNA from 1 species
UCACCAGCCAUCUCUUCUGCAAGUGUAUCCUUCAACAGUAGAUAUGACUUUUAUAGAAGAUGGCUCCAAACUCAACCUGAUCCUUCCGGCCUGGCUAUUGACAACACCGAAAACCAAGAAGCCGACAGUUUAAAGCCUGCUUCUUGCUCAGCUAAUGUACCUUCGGAGACAAACGAUUCUGCCAUGAAGCAUACUGCUAUAUCUAACUUGAAAACAUCUGCAAGGCACGAUCUUGCCAUGAUAUUCACGUGCAAAGUCUGUGAAACGCGAUCAGUUAAGACAG